rnacentral:rRNA from 1 species
UACAGAGGUCUCAAGCGUUGUUCGGAUUCAUUGGGCGUAAAGGGUGCGUAGGCGGCGCGGUAAGUCGGAUGUGAAAUCUCGGAGCUUAACUUCGAAACUGCAUUCGAUACUGCCGUGCUUGAGGACUGGAGAGGAGACUGGAAUUUACGGUGUAGCGGUGAAAUGCGUAGAUAUCAGGAGGAACACCGGUGGCGAAGGCGGCUCUCUGGACGGUGACUGACGCUGAGACGCGAAAGCGUGGGGAGCAAACAGG